rnacentral:rRNA from 1 species
UGUUUGAUGUUCUAACGUGGACCCGUGAUCCGGGUUGCGGACAGUGUCUGGUGGGUAGUUUGACUGGGGCGGUCUCCUCCUAAAGAGUAACGGAGGAGCACGAAGGUUGGCUAAUCCUGGUCGGACAUCAGGAGGUUAGUGCAAUGGCAUAAGCCAGCUUGACUGCGAGCGUGACGGCGCGAGCAGGUGCGAAAGCAGGUCAUAGUGAUCCGGUGGUUCUGAAUGGAAGGGCCAUCGCUCAACGGAUAAAAGGUACUCCGGGGAUAACAGGCUGAUACCGCCCAAGAGUUCAUAUCGACGGCGGUGUUUGGCACCUCGAUGUCGGCUCAUCACAUCCUGGGGCUGAAGUAGGUCCCAAGGGUAUGGCUGUUCGCCAUUUAAAGUGGUACGCGAGCUGGGUUUAGAACGUCGUGAGACAGUUCGGUCCCUAUCUGCCGUGGGCGCUGGAGAACUGAGGGGGGCUGCUCCUAGUACGAGAGGACCGGAGUGGACGCAUCACUGGUGUUCGGGUUGUCAUGCCAAUGGCACUGCCCGGUAGCUAAAUGCGGAAGAGAUAAGUGCUGAAAGCAUCUAAGCACGAAACUUGCCCCGAGAUGAGUUCUCCCUGACCCUUUAAGGGUCCUGAAGGAACGUUGAAGACGACGACGUUGAUAGGCCGGGUGUGUAAGCGCAGCGAUGCGUUGAGCUAACCGGUACUAAUGAACCGUGAGGCUUAACCUUACAACGCCGAAGGUGUUU